rnacentral:rRNA from 1 species
CAGGACGAACGCGGGCGGCGUGCCUAAUACAUGCAAGUCGAGCGGACGGACGGGAGCUUGCUCCCUUAGGUCAGCGGCGGACGGGUGAGUAACACGUGGGUAACCUGCCUGUAAGACUGGGAUAACUCCGGGAAACCGGGGCUAAUACCGGAUGCUUGAUUGAACCGCAUGGUUCAAUCAUAAAAGGUGGCUUUUAGCUACCACUUACAGAUGGACCCGCGGCGCAUUAGCUAGUUGGUGAGGUAACGGCUCACCAAGGCGACGAUGCGUAGCCGACCUGAGAGGGUGAUCGGCCACACUGGGACUGAGACACGGCCCAGACUCCUACGGGAGGCAGCAGUAGGGAAUCUUCCGCAAUGGACGAAAGUCUGACGGAGCAACGCCGCGUGAGUGAUGAAGGUUUUCGGAUCGUAAAACUCUGUUGUUAGGGAAGAACAAGUACCGUUCGAAUAGGGCGGUACCUUGACGGUACCUAACCAGAAAGCCACGGCUAACUACGUGCCAGCAGCCGCGGUAAUACGUAGGUGGCAAGCGUUGUCCGGAAUUAUUGGGCGUAAAGCGCGCGCAGGCGGUUUCUUAAGUCUGAUGUGAAAGCCCCCGGCUCAACCGGGGAGGGUCAUUGGAAACUGGGGAACUUGAGUGCAGAAGAGGAGAGUGGAAUUCCACGUGUAGCGGUGAAAUGCGUAGAGAUGUGGAGGAACACCAGUGGCGAAGGCGACUCUCUGGUCUGUAACUGACGCUGAGGCGCGAAAGCGUGGGGAGCGAACAGGAUUAGAUACCCUGGUAGUCCACGCCGUAAACGAUGAGUGCUAAGUGUUAGAGGGUUUCCGCCCUUUAGUGCUGCAGCAAACGCAUUAAGCACUCCGCCUGGGGAGUACGGUCGCAAGACUGAAACUCAAAGGAAUUGACGGGGGCCCGCACAAGCGGUGGAGCAUGUGGUUUAAUUCGAAGCAACGCGAAGAACCUUACCAGGUCUUGACAUCCUCUGACAACCCUAGAGAUAGGGCUUCCCCUUCGGGGGCAGAGUGACAGGUGGUGCAUGGUUGUCGUCAGCUCGUGUCGUGAGAUGUUGGGUUAAGUCCCGCAACGAGCGCAACCCUUGAUCUUAGUUGCCAGCAUUCAGUUGGGCACUCUAAGGUGACUGCCGGUGACAAACCGGAGGAAGGUGGGGAUGACGUCAAAUCAUCAUGCCCCUUAUGACCUGGGCUACACACGUGCUACAAUGGGCAGAACAAAGGGCAGCGAAGCCGCGAGGCUAAGCCAAUCCCACAAAUCUGUUCUCAGUUCGGAUCGCAGUCUGCAACUCGACUGCGUGAAGCUGGAAUCGCUAGUAAUCGCGGAUCAGCAUGCCGCGGGUGAAUACGUUCCCCGGGCCUUGUACACACCGCCCGUCACACCACGAGAGUUUGUAACACCCGAAGUCGGUGAGGUAACCUUUUGGAGCCAGCC